rnacentral:rRNA from 1 species
UGGAGAGUUUGAUCCUGGCUCAGGACGAACGCUGGCGGCAUGCCUAAUACAUGCAAGUCGAGCGAACAGAUGAAGUGCUUGCACUUCUGACGUUAGCGGCGAACGGGUGAGUAACACGUAAGGAAUCUACCUAUAAGCGGGGGAUAACAUUCGGAAACGGGUGCUAAUACCGCAUAAUAUCUUCUUCCGCAUGGAAGAAGAUUGAAAGACGGCUCUGCUGUCACUUAUAGAUGACCUUGCGGUGCAUUAGUUAGUUGGUGGGGUAAYGGCCUACCAAGACGAUGAUGCAUAGCCGACCUGAGAGGGUGAUCGGCCACAUUGGGACUGAGACACGGCCCAAACUCCUACGGGAGGCAGCAGUAGGGAAUCUUCCGCAAUGGGCGAAAGCCUGACGGAGCAAUGCCGCGUGAGUGAAGAAGGCCUUCGGGUCGUAAAACUCUGUUAUAAGAGAAGAACAAAUUGUAGAGUAACUGCUACAGUCUUGACGGUAUCUUAUCAGAAAGCCACGGCUAACUACGUGCCAGCAGCCGCGGUA